rnacentral:sRNA from 1 species
GCCAGGAGACACGGGAAAAUCGACAGAGACAAAGCGAACGGUCAGCUCUCAAAGAGAUCAUAGCUUUACCCAAGUUGAUAAUAGUGUGGGAACCUCAGAUGUUGUGAUCCUUACAUGUCGGACAUAAGAGCAAUUGUGGGGCAAGGCCUUCCAUCAAUGACUCGGUUAUGAAUACGCCGUACGCCGUAGAGAAAUGUAACUCGAGAGUAGCUGAACAUAAGGGUAGGCUAGUGAGGUGUAGGCUAUCAGACUCUGACUGCAUGUAGCCUGAGAAAAAUUAUGAAGAGCAACAACAACCCA